GACGAACGCUGGCGGCGCGCUUAACACAUGCAAGUCGAACGGAAAGGCCUGCUUUCCCUGGUGUGUUGCGGUGACGCGAGUGGCGAACGGGUGAGUAACACGUGAGUUAUCUUCCCCCAACUUGUGUAUAAGCCUGGGAAACUGGGUCUAAUUCCCUAUAGGACUGCAGUGUGGUGCCUGUGGUGUAAAACGUUGGUCUAGGGGUUGGGGAUGAGCUCGCGGCCUAUCAGCUUGUUGGUUGGGUAAUGGCCUACCAAGGCGGCGACGGGUAGCCGGCCUGGGAGGGUGGACGGCCACAUUGGGACUGAGACACGGCCCAGACUCCUACGGGAGGCCGCAGUGGGGAAUAUGGCACAAUGGGCGGAAGCCUGAUGCAGCGACGCCGCGUGGGGGAUGCCGGCCUUCGGGUUGUAACCUCCUUUCGACCGAGAGGAAGCCACCUGGUUGGAAGGGUGGUGACGGUAGUGGUAGAAGAAGCACCGGCUAACUACGUG
rnacentral:rRNA from 1 species